GGCUCAUUAAAUCAGUUAUCGUUUAUUUGAUAGUACCUUACUACUUGGAUAACCGUGGUAAUUCUAGAGCUAAUACAUGCUAAAAACCUCGACUUCGGAAGGGGUGUAUUUAUUAGAUAAAAAACCAAUGCCCUUCGGGGCUCCUUGGUGAUUCAUAAUAACUUAACGAAUCGCAUGGCCUUGUGCCGGCGAUGGUUCAUUCAAAUUUCUGCCCUAUCAACUUUCGAUGGUAGGAUAGUGGCCUACCAUGGUUUCAACGGGUAACGGGGAAUUAGGGUUCUAUUCCGGAGAGGGAGCCUGAGAAACGGCUACCACAUCCAAGGAAGGCAGCAGGCGCGCAAAUUACCCAAUCCCGACACGGGGAGGUAGUGACAAUAAAUACUGAUACAGGGCUCUUUUGGGUCUUGUAAUUGGAAUGAGUACAAUUUAAAUCCCUUAACGAGGAACAAUUGGAGGGCAAGUCUGGUGCCAGCAGCCGCGGUAAUUCCAGCUCCAAUAGCGUAUAUUAAAGUUGUUGCAGUUAAAAAGCUCGUAGUUGAACCUUGGGCCUGGCUGGCCGGUCCGCCUCACCGCGUGCACUGGUCCGGCCGGGUCUUUCCUUCUGGGGAGCCGCAUGCCCUUCACUGGGUGUGUCGGGGAACCAGGACUUUUACUUUGAAAAAAUUAGAGUGUUCAAAGCAGGCCUAUGCUCGAAUACAUUAGCAUGGAAUAAUAGAAUAGGACGUGUGGUUCUAUUUUGUUGGUUUCUAGGACCGCCGUAAUGAUUAAUAGGGAUAGUCGGGGGCAUCAGUAUUCAAUUGUCAGAGGUGAAAUUCUUGGAUUUAUUGAAGACUAACUACUGCGAAAGCAUUUGCCAAGGAUGUUUUCAUUAAUCAGUGAACGAAAGUUAGGGGAUCGAAGACGAUCAGAUACCGUCGUAGUCUUAACCAUAAACUAUGCCGACUAGGGAUCGGGCGAUGUUAUCUUU
rnacentral:rRNA from 1 species